GGCUGCUAGGAGACGCUAUUCCCUUUACCAGGCCCUCAUGCGGGCCAGCCAGCCAGGCAAAGGCCAGGGGAGCUCGAGACUGGCAACCUGGGCGAAGAACCGGAAGGAGGAAAAGGAAACGGAGGGAGAAAGAGUGAUGAGAAACGUCCACACUCCUAAUGUCUUGCCUCCUCUAAGUCGCCGGACACACAGCCCAACUUCCCUGGCAAACUUGCUUUUCAAACUCUCUUCUCCAUCUCAGUCAGGGGCUCAGGUUCUGUAGUGCUGCCAUGCUUUACUCCUCUGUCCCUCCCCUUAUCUAGUCUCCCGCAUUGACUUUAUAAGCAAGUUUUGAGUCCCUGCCUCUGGAGUGCCUGAUGAGACAAAACUGCUCCUCGUCCUGCAUCCCCGCUGCUACUUCCAGAACUCAGGGCUCGUGGUCUGGAGCCUGCACUGUUCCAUGAGCCUCCUGACCAACCUGGAAGCCUCUGUCUUUCCUCCCUCAGUGAGAUGCACCUACUUCUCCCUGGAGAAGCUCGAGGAAGCAGGAAUACUGAAGAUGAGCAGGUCAGCACCAGACCCGAAAACGCUCUGAUUUCUGCCCUCCACGCCAUACUCUCUUCACCUGCUGCCUCCUCAUUCCUCCCAUUAACAAUGUCCUGGCAGGAACAAGACUUUCCCCUCCCUCUCUGCUUGUCUCUUAGCAGAGACCACAUCUGCUCAGGGGUUUAUUCUUCCAUCUGUUUGCAGGGCUGUUUUGGACUCAGUAUUCACCUAAGCACUCCAAACUGUAAGUAACCCCAGAGCUCAUGGAGUGUCCCACUGCCCCUCCAUCUGGAGGCUGUGGCACCUCCCCCGAAGAGGAGGUGCUUGCAUGCGUCCAGUGCCCUGCCCAUUAGAUUAGAGAGGGCUCCCUUCUUUGCUCUCUUGCACUCAUUUGUCUGCCUUUUAGCUUUCCUUUUCUGCCCUGGACUCACACAGGGUCGCGUGAACGUGUGGUGUAGCAGGAGGAGACAGGUAAAGUGGAGGAAUAGGAGCUGGAGGGGAGCAGAAGGGAAGAAAAGAGGAGGGGGAGGGGAAAGAGAGGGAGUGGGUGGAAGGAGGAGAAGGGGAGGAGGUGAAGGAGGAGAGGAGGACACAGAAAAGAGAAGAAAAAGGAGAGGAGGAGACAGGAGGAGGAGCAGCAAAGGAGGAAGAAGAGGAAGAGGACAAGAAGAGCAAGUAAGGAGGAGGAGGGGGGAGUGGGAGGAGUAGGAAGAGAGAAGGACCGAAGGAAAAGGAAAAGGAUAGGCAGAUGUGGAGGAGAGGAGGCAGAGGAGAGGAGGAGAUGAGAAAGAGGAGGGAAAAGGAGAGGAGAGGGAUGAGUGGGAAGGAGGAGGAAGAAGAACAGGAAAA
rnacentral:lncRNA from 1 species